UCUGGCAGGGAGUAGAUGCCCGUGUGAUACGUGCGCAGAACCCCCUGCCAUCCUUCUGUUAACCCUCCAGAUCUUAACUGCUCUGUUGGGAGCCCAGAAUUUUACCUUGAGAAAAUUAGAGUGUUUCAGGCAGGCUAGCGCCGGAAUACAUUAGCAUGGAAUAAUAGAAUAGGACUUUAUACCUCUUCUGUUGGUCUGAGGGGAUGAAGUAAUGAUUAAUAGGGAUAGUUGGGGGCAUUAGUACUUUACUGUCAGAGGUGAAAUUCUCGGAUUUGUAAAAGACUAACUUAUGCGAAAGUUUGCCAAGGAUGUUUCAUUAAUCAAGAACGAAAGUAGGGGAUCAAAGACGAUAGGUACCGUGCUAGUCUAACCAUAAACUAUGGCGACUCGGGGUCGGGGGCGAGAGUAUCCGCCUUCGGCACCGUAGAGAAAUCAAAGUCUUUGGGUCUGGGGGGGAGAUGGUCGCAGGCGAAACUUAAAGGAAUUGACGGAAGGGCACCACCAGGCGUGGGGUUUGCGGUCAAUUUGACUCAACACGGGGAAAAUUUACAGGUCCAGACAUAGGGAAGGAUUGACAGGAUUGUAGCUCUUUCUUGAUUCUAUGGGGGGGGGGCAUGGGCCGUUCUUAAGUGGUGGAGGGAUUUGGUCUGGGUAAAUUUCCGUUUAACGAACGAAACCUUAGGCCUAACUUAAAUAGGCCGCUCCCAAUCAUGAAUGGGAAGCGACUUCCUUAGAGGGAUUUGGAAAGCAAAUUACAAGGAAGGUUGAGG
rnacentral:rRNA from 1 species